rnacentral:rRNA from 1 species
ACAGCAGUAGCCGCGGUAAUACGAAGGGUGCAAGCGUUACUCGGAAUUACUGGGCGUAAAGCGUGCGUAGGUGGUGGUUUAAGUCCGUUGUGAAAGCCCUGGGCUCAACCUGGGAAUUGCAGUGGAUACUGGGUCACUAGAGUGUGGUAGAGGAUAGUGGAAUUUCCGGUGUAGCAGUGAAAUGCGUAGAGAUCGGAAGGAACAUCUGUGGCGAAGGCGACUAUCUGGGCCAACACUGACACUGAGGCACGAAAGCGUGGGGAGCAAACAGGAUUAGAUACCCCUGUAGUCCCUGUCUCUUAUAA